rnacentral:tRNA from 1 species
GGCGCGGUGGCGGAGUGGCUACGCAGAGGACUGCAAAUCCUUGUACACCGGUUCGAUUCCGGUCCGCGCCUCCA